GUUAACGUAGCUUAAAGUAAAGCAUGGCACUGAAGAUGCCAAGAUUGAACCAUAAAAAGUUCCGGUAGCA
rnacentral:tRNA from 1 species